GACGGUCACUGGGGAGGAAGCUUCCCAAUAAACACGCACAGGAUUGCGCUGUAAGUCUCACUGAACGCAAUGGGAGACUUACUUCCGAGUAAACCUUGCCAGUCAUUCUCCAGCUUGUGCAAACGCUCGGAUCGUGUUCUCUCGUCUUCCCGCUCGCUUUAGGCGUGGGUGGCGUGUGCGCCACCAGUCCUCCACCCCCUCCAAGAGCCACGUGUCCCUUCCUCGUCUUUCUCGCGUUCUGGCUCACCUGCCUCCUCUCUCUCUCUCUUGAUGAAGCGCGCGCCCAGGGCUCAGGCUUUGCACGCACGGAACGAACUGAGCAAAGGCGCUGCCGCUUGUCUUCCUGCAGUCGGGUUAGGGCUACUGAGCUGAUGCUCGCCAGCGCCUCACGGGAGCAGUUUCCUUGUCCUCUUCCGCUGUUGGCGAGAGGCUGGAUGGUAGCGGCACUUGCAUGGUGGUGCGCGUACGCAGCGCCCGGCUAAGCCUGCUGGGGAAGAGGCAGAAACUGGAGCUGCCGGGAAUCUCCUUUCCUCCUUGGCCUAGUCUCGCCACCACCUCCAGCAACAGCAACAACGAGCGGAGGAGGAGGUGCGCUGCUCAUCGGGAUAAGGAACUUCGCGAGGUGGGUCUGUUCCUGUUGUAGGCAGUAGGCUACCGGAGGUAACGGCGGAGCUGACCCUCUCUUCCUGGCACGUUCCUGUCUUCUAACAUCUGCCUCCAGCGCAGCAAGUCAACAGGUGCUGAGCCACGGAUGUAGAUGGCACUGCUGAAAAAUGGGAAAACCAGAGAAUCUUCCAUCUUGACGUUCUACCAGCCUCUGGAGAGACACCAUACAAAGGUGGUGCAGCAAGACUUCUCUACUAGGACUGAAUAAACUGCCCUGUCUUCAUAACUGAUGAUCUUCUCCUCAUGUUGUGUUACUGAAGUUAAGACUGCAAUUUUAUGCACGCUUACUUAGGAGUAAGUUGCACUGAACACAGUGGCAUUUCUGAAUAACAUUCAUAGAUAGGGGCUGCGUGAUAGCCAAGAGUGCCUUCUUGGCUAUACCAACACCUGUGUUCCAAGUCACAGGGGAUAUCAAGAGGCAUUCUUGGUGCCUGCUCCAGCACAACAGAAGACUCUUCCUUUGGAGACUUGUUCCCCUUGAUUAGGUUUAGACCACAUAUAAAGGAGUUCUCAAAAAUCAGAGCUGGUGAGUGGAGCACCACCAUGCAGAAAGAGAUCAUUGGCAAUCUUAGUUCUGAACACUCCUUACAAAUCCAAAGAUACAGUGCCAGUUGUUCCUUGUAAGUAAGUAUGCAUCUUAAAAGUACACUAAGCAAAAGAACAGCAAGUCACAGACUAGAAAAUAGUCUGCAGUGUUGGUUUAGCCAAAGUAUGUAUGGUAAUGGGUUACAGCAGAGGUAACCAACAUGGUGCUCUCUGCAGAUGUUGUUGGACUACAAUCCCCAUUGGCCCCAGCCAGUAUGGCCAAUAGUCAAAGAUGGAGUCCAGCAAGAUCUGGAGGGCACCACAUUGGCUACCCCUGGAUUACUACAUAGCUGGAUAUGUAAGAAGUCCUUCCUUGCCACCCCUUUUAUUCCCCUUUCCUUCCCCAUUUCAUAUUCAAUGACACUGGACAGAUUGCUGGUAUAUAUCAUUCAGUACUUCAGAGGCUUGGCCAUCUGUCUGCCUCCUAGAUCUAUGUCAAUUAGGAAAGUGCUCCAUACAUUUGGAAAGUAAGUAAGAAAUCUUCCCUACUCAUAUACAUGUUAAACUGAUGGGUUAUCUUGUUCAUGAUAGAUUUUGUCCUGAAUUGUUAGAAUCUAAUGGUGUAUUCUCAGAUUCUGCUUUGUUCUCCCAGCUGGGUAUUUGCUUGCCACUGCCUUUGAAGCAGGCAAAAUGCAUAUCAGAAUAUUUCAUUUUUUAAAAAUUAUUAUAAAUAUGUGGAGUUGCCAUUGUAAAGCAUAUAACUUUUUUGUUAUAAUAAAAGUAUUAUUUUUACUGUUGAA